AGAAUCAGCUGCUUUAUGUUUUCUUCUUUGCACUGAUAUAUCAUGGCAGCGAGAGCUGUAUCUCUUAUAUCGGGACAGUGCCUGCUGCGUAGUAAGCGCUCAGGGAGUAUUUGCCUAAAGUGGGAAGAAUGCAUGAAUGAGUAUCCGCAGUGCCUGGCACAUAGCAGAUGUCCCAUAAAUAGUUGUUAAAGGGUGAGAGUUUGCCUUCCUGGCUGGGGAAGAUGGAGGGGGAGGAUUUUCUUCAGGGAAGGCUUCCUGGAGGUAGCUGUUGAACUAGACCUUAAAAGAUGGAGUGAAAUUCCACAAGGAAAGCUGAGCAGCAGAGCAUUCCAAACAGAAGGGACAAGUAUUUAGACAUAGGAGGCAUUGGUAAUAGUUUGAGAAAUUGAGCAUCU